AUUUUAAAGUUGAGUAAUUAAAUGUGAUAACUACUUCCAUUUAAAAAUACAAUUAAGCUAUUGGCCUAAAUAUCAUAUUCUUGUCAAUGGCUAAGGGGUAAAGAGUAUAUAUGGAGUACAUAUUCAAUGUGGUUAACUGAAAAUCACCCCAUACCCCAAAAUUCCAAUCCCACAAAUACAAAAUAUAUAUGAAACAAAUUUAUAGGAAGUCCUAUACCUAGCAAAGCCUUCUCAUCUAACAUUACUUUGGAAGCAAUGCCAAUGCAGACUGGAUAAUAUUAGGCAACUUUUCUCUCAAUGUGUAAACUGUGUUCUUCAACGUUUCGCAUGAACUCAUCUCCUCAGGAGCAAACUCAUAGUGCUGCAGAGUAUGGAGCUGCCUCUCCAGGUACCUGCGAAGACUAGCCUCUGCAACAUUAAUAAGACUGAGAGAAGCAAUCGUGUGCAUAUAUUUCGUAACAAGAAAUCCUGCUAGGAUCUGCUGAUCAGCUUUUACAAGCUCUGAUAUGAAGGAGGGGAACAGUAUUCUCCUGAAAAUAAGUAACAAGUCAUCCUUUUCGUUGUCUACAGAU
rnacentral:misc_RNA from 1 species